GGGAGGGUACGUGGUUCACGGUGAGGCAACUCACUGAGGAAAGUCUACCCACCGCGAAAGGCCACCUAAGGGUUCAGUAAUGGACGGCUCUGCAACAGAAACGACACGGCUGUUGGGGUAGGAAGAUGAGGCAGUGUCCUUGGCAACAAGGAAGAUUCCUCGGACGUUCCCAACCGCGCGAUGAAACGGGCAACCUGGCCGGUGCAAGUCUUCGGGACGCUAAGUCGAAUACCACGACAGCGAGGCGAAAGCCACGGCGAAGCAACGUCGCUGGAAACGCUGACAGAAGGUAGCUUAUUCCCUCCC
rnacentral:RNase_P_RNA from 1 species